rnacentral:rRNA from 1 species
UUUAAAGUCUAAUCUGCUCAAUGAGGAGUUAAAUAGCCGCGGUAUUUUGACCGUGCAAAGGUAGCAUAAUAAUUAGUUUUUUAAUUGAAAGCUGGAAUGAAUGAUUGGACGAGAAAAUAACUGUCUCAAUUUAAUUUUAGUAGAAUUUUAUUUUUAAGUAAAAAAGCUUAAAUUGGAUUAAAAGACGAGAAGACCCUGUAGAGUUUAAUAUUUAUUUUAUUAUUAGUUUUUUAGUUUUAGUUUAUUAAUAGUUAAUUAAGUAUUUUAUUGGGGCGAUAGAAAAAUUUAAUUAACUUUUUUUUUUAUAGUACAUUAAUUUAUGUAUUUUUGAUCCAUUUUUUAUGAUUAUAAGAUUAAAUUACCUUAGGGAUAACAGCGUAAUUUUCUUAUAGAGUUCUUAUCGAAAGGAAAGAUUGCGACCUCGAUGUUGGAUUAAAAUUAAUGUAAGGUGUAGAAGCUUUAUUGUUAGGUCUGUUCGACCUUUAAAAUUUUACA